rnacentral:rRNA from 1 species
UACGAAGGGGGCUAGCGUUGUUCGGAAUUACUGGGCGUAAAGCGCACGUAGGCGGGUUGUUAAGUCAGGGGUGAAAUCCUGGAGCUCAACUCCAGAACUGCCUUUGAUACUGGCAACCUAGAGACUGGAAGAGGUUAGUGGAAUUCCCAGUGUAGAGGUGAAAUUCGUAGAUAUUGGGAAGAACACCAGUGGCGAAGGCGGCUAACUGGUCCAGCACUGACGCUGAUGCGCGAAAGCGUGGGGAGCAAACGGG